UGAUCUGGAGUCUCUCGGGACCCGGAAUCACCGGUAAACGCUUAACUAUAAACCGCCUGGAUCUUUUUGACCGGGACGGAAGG
rfam:Desulfomonile tiedjei DSM 6799, complete genome.